rnacentral:rRNA from 1 species
GGGUCAGUAGGUUGGUCGUGCCACCGGUACGUACUGGUCUCACUGAUUCCUCCUUCCUGAAGAACCGUAAUGCCAUUGACUUGGUGUUGCGGGGGAACAGGACUGUUACUUUGAAAAAAUUCGAGUGUUUAAAGCAAGCUAACGCUUGAAUACAUUAGCAUGGAAUAAUGAAAUAGGACGAUCGAUCCUAUUUUGUUGGUUUCUAGGAUUGACGUA